UGGGGAAUAUUGGACAAUGGGGGCAACCCUGAUCCAGCGAUGCCGCGUGGGUGAAGAAGGCCUUCGGGUUGUAAAGCCCUUUAGGUUGGGAAGAAGUUGCUUGAGGGAAUAUCUCAGGUAAUUGACGGUACCGACAGAAUAAGCACCGGCAAACUCUGUGCCAGCAGCCGCGGUAAUACAGAGGGUGCGAGCGUUAAUCGGAUUUACUGGGCGUAAAGGGCGCGUAGGUGGUUAUGUGAGUGUGAUGUGAAAGCCCUGGGCUCAACCUAGGAAGUGCAUUGCAAACGACAUAACUGGAGUAUAAGAGAGGGUGGUGGAAUUUCCGGUGUAGCGGUGAAAUGCGUAGAGAUCGGAAGGAACGUCAAUGGCGAAGGCAGCCACCUGGCUUAAUACUGACACUGAGGCGCGAAAGCGUGGGGAUCAAACAGG
rnacentral:rRNA from 1 species